AGCAGCCGCGGUAAUUCCAGCUCCAAUAGCGCAUAUUAAAGUUGUUGCAGUUAAAAAGCUCGUAGUUGAAUUUCGGGGUCAGUAGGUUGGUCAUGCCACUGGUAUGUACUGGUCUCACUGAUUCCUCCUUCCUGAUGAACUGUAAUGCCAUUAAUUUGGUGUUGCAGGGAAUCUGGACUGUUACUUUGAAAAAAUUAGAGUGUUUAAAGCAGGCUAACGCCUGAAUACAUUAGUAUGGAAUAAUGAAAUAGGACGUUCGAUCCUAUUUUGUUGGUUUCUAGGAUUGACGUAAUGAUUAAUAGGGAUAGUUGGGGGCAUUAGUAUUCAAUUGUCAGAGGUGAAAUUCUUGGAUUUAUUGAAGACUAACUACUGCGAAAGCAUUUGCCAAGGAUGUUUUCAUUAAUCAAGAACGAAAGUUAGGGGAGUCGAAGACGAUCAGNUACCGUCGUAGUCUUAACCAUAAACUAUGCCGACUAGGGAUCGGAUGAUGUUAAUUUUUUAAUGUACUCAUUC
rnacentral:rRNA from 1 species